UUAAUUGAUAGAAUAAAUUAUGACAAGGUGAAAUGCAUAUAAAAUGGUAAAAUAUACAACUCAAUAAAUUCAACAAAGUUUAAUCUAUUGAGUUGGGGAAAAGGGAAAUGAAAAAAAAAAAAAAAUAAAUAAAAUAAAAUAGUAAAUAAAUAGUAAAUAUAUAGUAAAUAAAUAGUAAAUAAAUAGUAAAUAAAUAGUAAAUAAAUAGUAAAUAAAUAGUAAAUAUAUAGUAAAUAAAUAGUAAAUAAAUAGUAAAUAAAUAGUAAAUAAAUAGUAAAUAAAUAGUAAAUAAAUAGUAAAUAAAUAGUAAAUAUAUAGUAAAUAAAUAGUAAAUAAAUAGUAAAUAUAUAGUAAAUAAAUAGUAAAUAAAUAGUAAAUAUAUAGUAAAUAAAUAGUAAAUAAAUAAAGGUAAAAAAAAAAGUACUUAUAAUAUAAGUCUAUGCGUUUUUGACAUAUUACUAUUUUUUUUUUUUUUUUUUUUUUUAUUUUUAUUUUAUUAUUUUUUUUUUUUUAAUUACAACUUAGAUUAAAGCUUUCAUUCUGUUUGUUUCUGCAACUGCUUCAUUAAAUUUCUUUUUUUCCUCUUCAUUUAGUUGUAACUCUAUCACUUGUUCAACUCCAUUUCCUCCAAGAACAACCGGUGUACCUGCGAAAACAUCCUUGUGUCCAUAUUGGCCUUCUAAUAAUGUAGCACAAAUUAAUACUUUUUUUAAGUCGGUAAGAUAUGAUUCGGCCAUUUCUAUAGCACCAGUAGCAGGUGCAACAAAAGGAGAAGCAUAUAAGUUGACAAUUUCUAAAGCAGUGUUAACAGUUUUAUCACAAAUUGCAUCAAUUUCAGCAUCGGUACUCCUGAGUUUUGAUAUAAUAACUGUACCAUAACAUCUACUGGAUUUGUUAUAACAAUAAUAAAUGCAUUUGGACAAAGUUUUUUAAUAUUACC
rnacentral:lncRNA from 1 species